AACCUGGUUGAUCCUGCCAGUAGUCAUAUGCUUGUCUAAAAAAUUAAGCCAUGCAAGUCUAAGUAUAAGCGAAUUAUAAACAGCAAGACUGCAGAAGGCUCAUUAAAUCAGUUAUCAUUCACAUGGUGGGUAAAUUACUAUAUGGAUAACUGUAGUAAUUCUAGAGCUAAUACAUGCCAAUAAUCUCUUUUUUUUUAUAGCAAAGAGUGGCCUUAUUAGAUACAGAGCCAACCGGUUUACCGAGUUUGGUGAUUCAUAAUAAAUUGCCCGAUCGUAUAUUUUUGACGACAUGCCAUUGAAAUUUCUGCCCUAUCAGCUUUGGAUGGUAGUGUAGUGGACUACCAUGGCUUUUACGGGUGACGGGGAAUCAGGGUUCGAUUCCGGAGAGGGAGCCUGAGAAACGGCUACCACUUCUAUGGAAGGCAGCAGGCGUGCAAAUUACCCAAUCCCAAAAUGGGGAGGUAGUGACAAGAAAUAACGAUAUCGGAACCUCAUGGUUCUGGUAAUCGGAAUGAGAACAAUCCAAAAUCCUUAUCGAGGAUCAAUUGGAGGGCAAGUCUGGUGCCAGCAGCCGCGGUAAUACCAGCUCCAAUAGCGUAUAUUAACAUUGCUGCAGUUAAAAAGCUCGUAGUCGAAUUUCUGGUCUGCCAAUGAAGAACUGUACCCUAUGGUCAGUAUCCGAUAUUGCGGGCCAUCUUUCUGGAAUUGAUCUGCUGCUCUUGGAUGAGUGGUAGUUCAAUCCAGAUCUUUUACUGUGAGCAAAUGAGAGUGUUUAAAGCAAGCUCAUGACAUGCCUAAAUCCUCUAGCAUGGAAUAAUAAGAUAGAACUUCGGUUUUAUUUUGUUGGCUUCUAGAACCAAAGUAAUGAUUGAAAGGGAUAGUUGGGGGUGCUCGUAUUUAGAGGGGAGCGGUGAAAUGCGUUGAGCCUCUGAAGACGGACUAAUGCGAAAGCAUUCACCAAGGAUAUCUUCUUUGAUCAAGAACGAAAGUUGGGGGAUCGAAGACGAUCAGAUACCGUCGUAGUCUCAACCAUAAACGAUGCCAACUAGGGAUUGGCGAUCGUUGACAUAUGACCUCGUCAGCACCUUCAGAGAAAUCAAAGUCUUUGGGUUCUGGGGGGAGUAUGGUCACAAGGCUGAAACUUAAAGGAAUUGACGGAAGGGCACCACCAGGGGUGGAGCCUGCGGCUUAAUUUGACUCAACACGGGGAAACUUACCAGGUCCGGACAUAGUAAGGAUUGACAGAUUGACGCUCUUUCUUGAUUCUAUGGGUAGUGGUGCAUGGCCGUUCUUAGUUGGUGGAGUGAUUUGUCUGGUUAAUUCCGAUAACGAGCGAGACCUCAGCCUACUAAUUAGUUGUGGGAAUCUUUAUGAUUCUGCUAUUCACAUCUUCUUAGAGGGACUAUCGGCGUGUAGCCGAAGGAAGUUUGAGGCAAUAACAGGUCUGUGAUGCCCUUAGAUGUUCUGGGCCGCACGCGUGCUACAAUGAUGCACUCAAUGAGUGAAUUUUCCUUGACCGAUAGGUCUAGGCAAUCUUAAAAAUUGUAUCAUGCUUGGGCUUGACCAUUGUAAUUUUUGGUCACCAACGAGGAAUCCCUAGUAAGCGCAAGUCAUCAUCUUGCAUUGAUUACGUCCCUGCCCUUUGUACACACCGCCCGUCGCUUCUACCGAUGAAUGAUCCGGUGAACACUUUGGACUUGAAUCUCUGUGGUUUCCAUAGAGCUACGAGGAAGUUGUGUAAACCUUAUCAUUUAGAGGAAGAAGAAGUCGUAACAAGGUUUCCGUAGGUGAACCUGCAGAAGGAUC
rnacentral:rRNA from 1 species